rnacentral:lncRNA from 1 species
AAUAAUAAGUGACAACUGUUUCUUUGAAUAAAAGUUCACCCUUUAUUUUAUGUUCUUCUUCUUCUUCUUCUUCUUCUUCUUCUUCUUCUUCUUCUUCUUCUCUUAUAUGUCUACAAUGAACUCAAGUGAGUAGACUCACUCUUCUUGUCUUGAGAUUGUUGAAUAAGUCUAAUGACAUAAUCCUAAUCAAACCAAGCCUUGAACCCUAAUUUUAUAUAAAUCUACUUUCUAAUCUAAUUUCACAGUUGUUAUAAUGAAUUUACAAGUAUCAAACUCAUAAAGCGACAACGGAGGGUUAGUACCAAACUUUUCUUUGGUGACAUGAUUCAGCCUGGUACUUAAUUUAGAAACCUUGUGAUGCUGGCUGAAUUAGACAAGUAAUGCACCAUGUAAUUCAUGGUAAGUUCAAGCUAAAUUCAUUUAAGCAUUUAAGCUGAAUUAUACAAGUAAUGUACAAUGUAAUGAAUGACAUGAGCUGAGUCAAAAUGAUUUAAACUAGUGUUAACUUGCAUCGUUUCUUUUAUUUCAUCGUAUAUUUACUUAGGAAAUUAUCUGAUUUGUUCAUAAGGAAUUUCUCAGCCUUUGUUAUCCGUUAUAACUUGCAAGUUAGCUAUUUUGAAACGGUCAAAUAUUUGACAAUUAAAAAUAAAAGAACCAUUUGAAGAGAUUUCGGUGCAGUAUCCCUUGUUAUCAAUACACAAAAUUGAAAGAAAGCAAAGAAAUUCCUAAUGAACAGAGAAAGAAUUUUCUGGGUAUUUGCGAGAGAAAAAAAUGUACACACCGAAAUAUUCUGGAUAGGAUAUAUGAAUAUGUGAUCAAACAAAGGUUUCACACUAAAUUAAUACAUUUAGACCACACUCUGGUUCUUGUGGUUUAAGAAAUAUAUAUCAUAUACACGUGGCUUAAACUUACCAUCAAUUACGUGUUAUAUUUCCAUUUAAAUGUAUCAAACGACAAGAAUAUUUCCUCAAAUUUGUUCAUUAUCUUCGCUUUUUGCUAUUUUUUGAUAAUAAAUCUUAAUGAUAAAGACUUCAAAGUUUUCAGUGCUAUGUUCCAUCCUGCAGAACAAAAACUUGGAUCCAAAUUUAAGGGUUAAAGAAGAAGUGGCUUCCUUGGAGAGAUACCACAUUUUGCUGCCAAUGUCACGGAGACAACUUUCAUAGAUUUUCUUGUUAGUUAGUUAAUCCAUAAUAGUGAAUAAAAUGUUAGUUACAAAGUUGUUAAGCUUUGGUUAGUUGGUUAAGUAUAGUUACUUGAUAACGACAAGAAACUAUAUAGGAUUUCUUGUCAUCUUUUAGAGUCAUUGUAGAGUAGAAGUAGUUUGUAUAGUUGCAAUUUAAUCAUCAAGAAUUGAAAAGAGACUUCAUAAAAUCAUAAGAUCAAAUCAAUUGAUGAAGAAAUUGCCAAGUUCAGCCAUUGUUAAGAUCACGUUGUUGGCUAUUGACCCCACUUCACGAGCAAUUGAUGAAGAAAACAACAGAAUCGGCCUCGUCAAGGUUUGCGUCGCAAUAUAUAUCUUCUAGUGUCGUCGGCCGACUUUUCCAAAAAUUUUGCGAAACGCGCGCCUUACAAGGUUGACCCCUAGGUCAAUGAGAAGACACCUUUUGACUAGCAGAAAACAACGAAAGUGCAAUCUAGGACAACAGAGAGAGAUUCAAAGCACCUCUAGAGCAAGGAAUCAUCACUGACGAUUCUUUUUUUAUGUUUGUUUAUUCAUAUAGUUUAAUAUAGUUUAAUAUGUGCUUAGACAUCAUGAGUAGCUAAAACACUCUAGAUUAGAUCAUGAAAAAGAAAGCUUC